GUGAGCAGCUCGCUCUCUGCAGCUCUCACAUGGUCGCCCACUGAAGCUAAGCAGGGCUGCGCCCGGUCAGUACCUGGAUGGGAGACCACAUGGGAAAGCUAGGUUGCUGCCGGAA
rnacentral:rRNA from 1 species